rnacentral:snRNA from 1 species
GUAAACAAAUACUAAAAUUGGAAGGAUAAAGAGAGGAUUAGCAUGGCCUCUGCAUAAGGAUGACAUGCAAUUUCAUGAAGAGUUCCAUAUUUUU